UACGGGGGGGGCAAGCGUUGUUCGGAAUUACUGGGCGUAAGGGGCUCGUAGGCGGCCAACUAAGUCAGACGUGAAAUCCCUCGGCUUAACCGGGGAACUGCAUCUGAUACUGGAUGGCUUGAGAUUGGGAGAGGGAUGCGGAAUUCCAGGUGUAGCGGUGAAAUGCGUAGAUAUCUGGAGGAACACCGGUGGCGAAGGCGGCAUCCUGGACCAACACUGACGCUGAGGAGCGAAAGCCAGGGGAGCAAACGGG
rnacentral:rRNA from 1 species